ensembl:lncRNA
GGCCGGGAGGCCAACUCUAGGAAGAGUCUUGGUUGCUCCAAACUUCUUCUGUUUAAGUAUGAUGGAGGUCACUGUGUUCUUGGGAACCUUCAAUGCUGCAGAAAUGUGUUGGUACCCAUCCCCAGAUCUGUGCUUCGGCACAAUCCUGUACAGAUAAUUGCUUGGUUUUUGCUCUGACAUGCAUUGUCAACUGUGGGACCUUAUAUAGACAGGGUGUGUGCCUUUCCAAAUCAUGUCCAAUCAAUUGAAUUUACCACAGGUGGACUCCAAUCAAGUUGUAGAAACUUCUCAAGGAUGAACAAUGCAAACAGGAUGCAUCUGAUCUCAAUUUAGAGUCUCAUAGCAAAGGGUUGAGUCAUGCGUCCUCUGAAACAUGACCCGCCAAAUCGUGCUUCUUAACACCUGCCCGCUAAACCCUGAAGCCAAUUGCAUCAAUGUGUAUUAGGAAACACUGUUAAACUGAAGACCGAGGUCAGCCUGUAGGCGCCUGGCCCACCACGAGGAGUCGCUAGAGAGCGAUGAGCCAAGUGGGGGAGGGUGCCCCCCCUCCGGCCAAACACUCGCCUAACCCGGACGACGCUGGGUCAAUUGUGCGCCACCAUAUGGGACUGCCGAUCACGGCCGGUUGUGAUACAGCCCGGGAGCGAACCCGGGUCUGUAGUGACGCCUCUAGCAUUGCGAUGCAGUGCCUUAGACUAUUUUUAAUACAUUUGCAAAAAAAUUAAAUACCUGUUUUUGCUUUGUCAUUAUCGGGUAUUGUGUGUAGAUUUGAUGAGGUAACGUUUAAAAAAAAAUCAAUUUUAGGGCUGUAACUUAAUAACAUUUGGAACAAGUCAAGGGGUCUGAAUACUUGCAUUGUAUUUACCUUUAUAUUGCAAACAGCAUUUAUUUGCUGACUUGAAAUAGAAAUAGCCUCUCCUAAGAGUUUCAAGUUUUAAAGUGUAUUUGUCACUUGCAAUAGGAAAAGGCAGGUGUAAAACAGUACAGUUAAAUGCUUACUUGUAUGUAAGCUCUUUCCCAACAAUGCAGUAUUCAGUAUGAAGGUGAGUGGAAAUAAUAUAAAGGAAUAAUAUACAGUAUAAAUAUAAAGUAAGAAAACUCAUGAGAAGUAUGGAAAAACGACAUAAAAAAAACAUGAGAAUGCAAGUCAUAUACAGGUUCAGUGCUAGUACCGUAAUGACAAUGUGCAGGGGUACUAAAGUAAUUGAGGUACAUGUAAACAGCGGUAAAAAGUGACUGAUGGCAGGAUAAAUAAUAAUCAAUAUAGCAGCAGUGUUUUUAGUGGUGGGAUCCCAUGUCAUGGACAGUGAAGAACUGACCACAACGCUACCAAACUGGUGCGACAAGAAGGAGGCCAACUACCUGUGGGGGUGGCUACACAAUCAACACUACUGGGACGACUCCACUCUUCUGGUAGAGUAACUACAAGGCUGUUUCCCUGACGACUGGCAAAGGUGGGCGAAGCUGUAUCCAGCAAAGACCCUGGAAGAAGGGUUCUUCAG